CCAGACAAGACCUUUCACUUCCCAUCACAGAAGCUGUCCUUUGUCACUGGACAUCCACCCCUUUUGUAGGGUUGACCUCUGUACAGACGAAAGAAAAUGGGUCACCUGCAGAGAGCCGCCAUGUCCCAUGGACUCCAGUUUGUAUGAUAUUGUGUAAAUUCAUGGAGAACUCUUGACGCUUGCCAUCUUCCUUGUCCUCUUGGUAUUCAAGGCCAUGAAUCCCCAAGUAGCCAUCUUGGUGGCUAGCACCCAAACAGAAGUGGCCUCCAUCCAGCCCGGUGUCUCAGGCUCGGUUGAGCGCAUUGGCACUGCGGGGGUUGGCGAGCUAUGGAGUCAGCCAGCGGGUUGUGAGAGCUGGGGGGACAGGAGUCUGCCAGCAAGAGUGGGCAGCAGCAGCUGACCGUCACCUCAGUGACCCCGUGGGGGCCGAGCAGCCCUGGGGAGGCAAAGAGAGAAUUCCCCGAGCCGUCCAGCCGUGGGUCACCCGUGUAGCCGAGAAUUCAGUUGCUUCAUAACUGAAUGUGCUCUGGGAACUUUGCCACCCACUCAGCAGCCUUCCUUCCCAGCCAUGCCCUCUGUUUCAUCUACCUGUCCUCUACCCUGCCUCCCCUCCAGCUCCCCCCUUUUCUCACCUGUGAACCAUUUCCCUUCUCCCUCUUCCGUCCACCAGGCUCCAAGUCCCGCCUCUCUCCUCAUCUGCUCUUUUUGACUGUGUGUGUGCGUGUAAUUCACAACCACAUAGGACAUCUGAUGUGCGUGGAUGGGUCUGAGUGUGGGGCUCUGUGUGUGUGUAUCUCUCUGGUGCAUUUUGUGUACAUUUGUGUCAGUAUGUACCUGGACGCAGAUGUGGGUGUGUACUACUCAAGACUUCCUUGCUGACGACACGGAUCAGCUUCUGCAAAUAGGCUCACGUGUGAGUGAGUGCCCUGUGCGUGGGGAGCUAGGAGACGCCGGGGCAGGAAGUGCUGUUAGCUCCUAAUUGCGCUUCUAAGGAUGGUUUUUAAAACAAAGGAUGUAUUCUAUGAGAAGGGAGAUGAUUUUCAGGAAAACCCAGUGUUUCAAUUGUGCAGGGAAUUAAAAAAAUAAUAAUUUGCUUUGAAAAGUUAGAUUUCCCACUUCAGGGGAAGGGCAUACUUGGGCUUGAGGAAAAGUGAGAAGUAUCUCAGAUUGUGUCUUCCUUCCAAGCAUCUUGACUGGGCUCCGCCCAGCAGGGAGAGCUGGGCGUCCACCAGCAUCUGUUUGGGGACAGGAGGCUUGUCUGUGACCACAUCCAAAUUUCAGCUGUUUCCCAAUUGUAGGAAAAUGCGGAAAGAAAUUCCAAAUGGGGCAAUUUGUAAUCAAUCAUUUAAACUUUUCCUAAGUAACCAGUACUGUUCACCAACCUGUAAUUUAUACCCUCUUUUUUAAUCCCAUGCUUGCCGUAAAUAGAUCAUCCACUCUCUCCAACUGCUAAUCUUCAUCAUAGACCUUCAUCAUAGAUUGCUGCAUCCCUUUGAAAUGUUCCUAAAUGCUAGGAGGACCCCUAGGAAAGAAGUAAACCACCUGGGCCCAACUCACCAUCAGCAGAGCAGGAGCUCAGAGCCGCUUUCUUUGGUAAUGGGGCCGGAAAUGUACAGACACGCACACUCUGGGUCUGACCCUGCUCGGGGCACAUAAGCCCAGCCACGUGGCCAGGACGGAAGCCCUGUACAGAUGGCAAGUGGGAGAACUGCUCUGGUCACCUUGAUCCCUCCGGCCUAGGGACUUGACCGCAGAUGAAGACGUGUCACUCCAAGCUGUCACUGAAGCUUUCAUGCUGUGAGGGCUGAGGAGGAAAAGGCAGAGAGGGAGGAGAAGGAAGGAGGAGGCUCAACUUUCGGGACUCUUUACAUCAGACUCUGCUAACCCCAGAUCAGAGUAGAACCCGGCCUUCUGACGGGAUUUAGGGUCAGCGGCCUCACCCACCAGCCCCCACCCCAGGUCAAGUUCAAAUUCCCUACAGGUGUGCAGGCGAGGCCUGUGACCGUGUAUGUGUUUUGAGCUCCGUGAAAGUCGACCUUGAGCACGGGCCCUUUUAUUUCCUUCCCUGCCCUAGGACCCUGGGGAUUCAGGAAAGUGGGGUGUCUGCCUUAGAAAAAGGUCCUACUUCUUUCCCCAUUUGGAGAGUUUUGGUUUCUUCUUCUGAUUUCUGUUCCUUUCUGUCCACUCACUUCCACUUUCUCCCUGCAUCAACUACGACCCAUUAAAAUAGUUAAGGAAUCUGUCUUUAGAGAGGCUCAUCCACUCCAAGCAGCCCCCUUCCUUGUUUGUUGUGGCUGUAGGUUUCAUGAGCAGUUCUGUGACUCCCUGACUUCAAAGUGUAAACCAAUUUCAGACGUGCCUGUUCCAGCUUCAAUCCUCCUCCAAGUCCCAGCCUUUCAACGAUAACACCCUUUCGAUUUCAGGGAUCACAAGGUCACAAACACUGGACAACUCCACCAAAUCAAGACAAAGCCUUCCUCAGUCACACGUCCAUGUGCAGCACCCUGGGCCCUGGUGCCAUUUGGGGAUGUUCUCUUGUUGGGAGUGAGUGGUUUCACCUAGCAAUGCUUGCCUUUCUUUCGCUAAGGGAAGAAGAUGUCCUGAGACUCUUCAGUCGGUGCCCCACGUCUUAGUGUUCAUCCGCUGUCACCACGAGAGGUCUAAAAUGAAAGAACCACGUGUAGUUGUCCUGGUUUAAUGGGAGGAUGUGCUGCUUACAUCUCCACAGCUGCCCACCUGAGUCAGAUUCAGGAUAGUGAAAUCAGGUACAUCACCCAGAGGCGUUUAGAAUUGACUCUGUCUUCACCUGGCUUAUUCUGAGAGCAUUAAGGAACUGAUUUUCGAGUAUCGUGGGGGAAAGAGUGGGAAGCAAUACACUCUGGUCAUCUUUGGUGUGAUGCGUGUGGGAUGUUUGCUUGAUUCUUGUAGCUAAAGGGAAGCUGCUCUUCUGAAAAGGUCCCCUCUGCUCUAGGGACGAACCUUUCCCGUGGACAUAUCCAGCCCUUUCCAGGGAAAGAUGAUGAGUCAUGGAGUGAUUUCACCACAGAUAGGAAUAGUUGGUGCAUUAACAGCCGGGUUGGCUUCUGUGCUGUCUUCCAGCUGUUAUACAGUAGAGUAAGGGGACAGAUUUUUAAACAAGACCACCUGAGUUGAUGGUCACAAAAGUUUCUGGUUUCCCUCAACGUGGUCACCUUGGUGGGCUGGGUUUUCCCUCUUUUCAUCAAUGCCUCCAUGGUGCAAAAUAUUUCUUAAACAUUAUGGUUAGUUCUUGGACUACAUUAUUAUUGGCUGUUUGAUUUUUUUUCCUGAAUAAUACGUGUUCAUUGUAGAAAGUUAG
ensembl:lncRNA